CUCCCAAAGUGCUAGGAUUACAGGCGUGAACCACCGCGCCCAGCCCAGUUUCUUCUUUAAAAUGGGGCCGUGGACAUUCACCUAGUGAGAUGAAGGCGUUACAGAAGCAGGUCACAAGACCCUCAUGUGAGAGGUGCCCUCCCUAUACCUGGAGGACAGGAGCGUCCUUCUCUCUGAAGACACGAAAACAGAGAGAAUCUGCACAAGCAGGUCUUGAGAUGAAACAGGAAAGGGAAUGCGUUGGAGCCAUUUUUUAAAACUACAAACUGUUUCUCACUACCCUCUGGACUGUUGGCGUUCUACCAUUGACGGAGGGUGGAGCUGAAAAUUCUGGGCAGCUUUCCUCCAACGAG